GGGUCAGUAGGUUGGUCGUGCCACCGGUACGUACUGGUCUCACUGAUUCCUCCUUCCUGAAGAACCGUAAUGCCAUUAAUUUGGUGUUGCGGGGAAACAGGACUGUUACUUUGAAAAAACUAGAAUGUUUAAAGCAAGCUAACGCUUGAAUACAUCAGCAUGGAAUAAUGAAAUAGGACGAUCGAUCCUAUUUUGUUGGUUUCUAGGAUUGACGUA
rnacentral:rRNA from 1 species